rnacentral:lncRNA from 1 species
AGUUAAACCGUUGUCACUACAAAUAUUUCUUUUGUCUGGCUUACCUUUUAAUUUUGUUUAUAUCGUCUUUAAUUUUAAGGUAGACAGUUCAUCUUUUCCUCUAUGAUUUAUGUUUAUGAAAUUUAAGAAAGCCUUCCCUAACUUGAUAUUAUAAAGCAGCCUACUGCAUUGUUUAUUUUAAAGUCUUGAUUUUCACAUUUAAUUGUAUAAUUUAUUUGAAGUUUGUUUUUUGCAUAUAGAGUGAGGAAAGGGACCUAAUUUUGAAUCACCCUCUCCUCCACAAGGAUAGGCAGUUAUUCUGGACCAUUUAUUUCCUGUCUACUCUUUUUCUUUUUUUUUUGUGAUGGAGUUUCACUCUUGUUGCCUAGGCUGGAGUGCAAUGGCGUGAUCUCGGCUCACUGCAGCCUCCGCUAGCCGGGUUCAAGUGAUUCUCCUGCCUCAGCCUCCCGAGUAGCUGGGAUUACAGGUGCCUGCCACCACGACCAGCUAAUUUUUGUAUUUUUAGUAGAGACGCGGUUUCACCAUGUUGACCAGGCUGGUCUCGAACUCCUGACCUCAGGUGAUCUGCCUGCCUUGGCCUCCCAAAGUACUGGGAUUACAGGCGUGAGCCACCGUGCCUGGCCUAUUUCCUCUCUAUUCUUACUGAUUGUGCCAUGCUGUCAUAUAAAAGGUUCCUUUCAGUGCCUGGGUCUGCUUCAUUGGUCCAUUUAUCUGUCCAUGUACCACUGUAGUAACACCGUUUUAACAACUAUAGCUUUAUAACAAGUUUCAAUUUCUCUUAUGGUGAGUUCUCCUUUCCUAUUCUUUUUCAAAAUUUUCAUGCUUAUUGUAGGGUCAGCUUGUUAACUUCUUAGUUGUCUUAAAAUCUGUUUUGUCUGGCUGGGCGCGGUGGCUCAUGCCUGUAAUCCCAGCACUUUGGGAGGCUGAGGUGGGCAGAUCACGAGGUCAGAAGAUUGAGACCAUCCUGGCUAACACGAUGAAACCCCGUCUCUACUAAAAAUACAAAUACUAGCCUGGUGUGGUGGUGGGUGCCUGUAGUCCCAGCUACUUGGGAGGCUGAGGCAGGAGAAUGGCAUGAACCUGGGAGGCGGAGCUUGCUGUGAGCAGAGAUUGUGCCACUGCACUCCAGCCUGGGCCACAGAGUGAGACUCCAUCUCAAAAAGAAAAAAAUCUGUUUUGUCUGAUAAUGGCAUUCAUACGUCGGGUUUCCUUUUAAUGGUACAUAUUUUUCCAUUCCUUUCAACUUUUUCAUGUCAUUAUUUUUUAGAUUUUCUCUUAAGAGCAUACAGAAAUCUUUUUUUUUUUUUUCCUUUCUUAAACCCAUUCUCCUAAAAUGAUUGUGGAUUUGGCGGUUUCUCCUAUGGCUAAAUCAGCAUUUGCUUAUUUUAUUUUAAGAUGAUUUUGUUAGCACUGUGUAUUCUGUUUUGGGAUUUUUAAACGUGCUGAUAAAUUGCUUCUUUUUAUCAUUUAAGUAAUGAUCCUCUCUAUCUCGGUAAUAAUGAUUUUCUCCUUUAAUCUAGUUUUCUUAAUCUAUUUUUUAGAAAAUCAGGUUCUAUUGUUAAUACUAGUUUUUUUUUUUUUUUUUUUUUUUUUUAGUGUUUACCUGGUAUAUUACUUUCAGCAUUUUUAUGUUGUUAGGUUUUAAGUCUGUCUUUUGUAAAUAGCAUAAAACUUAUUUUCCUUUUAAAUCUAGUCUUUGAAUUACUGUCUUUUAGUAGAUAAAUUUUAAUUUGUAUUCACUUUACUGUGAUUAUCAUUUCUUUGCAUUAUUUUUUUCUCCUUUCCUGUCAUAUGUUGGAUUAAUCCAGUUUUCCUUAUUUUCCCUUUCUUUUUACUUUGUGUUUUAGAAGUUAGUAUUUCAUUCAUAGGUGUACCAUUAUUUAUUCCCUAUUUAUGGUUGAUUUUUAAUUUUUGUUACUAUACUAAUACUUCAGUUAGUAGCCUUGUACAUAUAUAAUUCCACACGUGUGCUGGUAGCUCUGUAAAAUACAUUGUUGUACUUGAUUCCAGGUCAAAGAGUAUAUGUAUUUUAACUUUUAAUAAAUAUAGAUAGUCUUUUAAAGAUAAAUUUAUCCAAUAAGCAGAUUUUAUAUGUCAUAUGUGAUUACAUAUAUUGAAGGAAAGGGGAAAUAUUUUGUUUUAGGAGUGGCUACUACUGCAGUGUUAUUUUUGAAGCAUCUCAAAAUUGGUUAUUAUGUCAGGAUUGCCUGUUGAGAAAAAAAUUCUGCAGACAAAAUUUCAUAUAUUUAUAAUAUAUGAAUUUUUAUAUUUAUAAUAUUUCAUAUAUUUAUAGUAAUGAAAUUUCUUAAAGCAAACAUGGAUACUGCCUUCCUGAUCUGCAGGAUUUAGGGAAAACCAAACUGAUGCUUGAGCGUCUGUAAGGAAUCCAUACAAGUCAACUUGAAAAACAAUUUCUCAAAUUGGGACACGCAUAUGCCAGGUAUAGGCAGUCCUCAAUAUUGGAACAAGUUGAAUUUCCAACAUCAGUGGGUACUUAGAUACAUUUUCUCAUUCAAUUUAAGCAACUGAGCAAGGUCCUGAGCUGGGUGUAAUACCAAAAAAUUGAAAAGGAUUCUCCUUUCCUACAGAAGCUCAAUCUAGAAGAGACGAUAAUGUAUACACAAGUAACAAACCAAACGUGGGGCACAAUGCGAAGCACGUUUAUGGAGGAGCUAUAAUCUGCUUUGGGAGUAUGGAGGAGAAAGAUCACUUUUGGCUGUAACCCUUUUUGGAGUUCUUUUACUAUGUGCUUGGCCUGGAUUAAGGGAGCACAUUGCUGAGUGGCCAGCAUUUGAGAAAGGACAGAAUUUUCCUAAGUGGAGACUGGGUAUGAUUGUUGAAGCCUUGCAGCACAGGUGAAAGGGUGAGAUGGGAUGGCAGUGACAUUUGUGGCUGUCUCAUUAGUCAACCCACUCCUUGCAAAGCAAGAACUGGCACCCAAUUCCUUCUCAUUGACUUUCCCUCUCUGUUGCACUAGGCAGCAGCUGAUAGAUUGGGGUUAGUAUCAGGUCAUUGGUUGGUUGCAGCUUUUGGUAGAACAUAGGGCAGCUGGUUUUGGGGUGGUGGGUCGGGGGAGCGGGGGAAGUCAGGUGUAUUUUAUUGAGGUGGUUAGGAUGGUUUUGGUGAUGAGAGAUGAUGAAACUUCAUUGGAAUUUCAUUGCUGCUUAUCUCCAGAGAGGUCAACCACAAGACAUCUCUUAUUACUUAGCCUAUGUUGCAGACUCUCAUUACACAGUGAAUAGUGUGUAAACAGAUCCAUAUGUUGCAGGAUUUCUGCUGAGCACCAUUCCUAGUAGCCACAUCAACAGUAGCAUCGUAUAUAAAACCACUACUUCCUCAGAGUUGGUUUAGGAACCACCUGAAUCUGAACUACCUGGUCAGCCUGUUAAAAAUGUAGUGUCCUCAGCUCCAUUACAGUAUUAGAAUCUCUGGGAGUGGGAGCCUGGGAGCUUGGGAACAUGCAUCUUGACAAGCUUCCCAGGUGAGAAUCCUUUGAUCUUCAGUUAUAUGUAGAACUUUUCACUGUGAUGAACUUUUAUUUACCAAAAAUCAUUUCUUUCAGCUUAGUGGUAUAGUGAAAAUGAAAUGUUCACUGUAUUUAAACUCAUUUCUGUUUUUAGACUUGGACUUAGAAAACUAAUGGUGUGAUUAAGUCAGUAAACAUUUGAAAGGGAUAUGAAUAUGCAAGAUCGUGUUUCAUCCCUCAAGGAUAUCACUUCUUCUAUUGCAGUCAUUUAUACCCCAAAGAAAUGUGAUACAAGCAAUGGAGGUUUGCCUACAAACGAAUCUAUCUGAAAAUGUCCCCGUCUACUAUUUAGAGAUUCCUUUGGGGAAAGCACUACCCAGUGGCUUUGGUUUUGACUACAUAAAGGAAGUAUGACUUAAAGAGUCCUCUGUGUUUCAAACUACUUGUCUUAGGCAGAGGGUUGAUUAAAAAAAAGAACAAGAUGAAUUUGCUACUUCCUUUUAGAGUCUGAUUUUACUCUCUCAGAUAAAGUGACAUUUCUCCCACAGGUUUCUGAUUUCAGUGUUACUAUAACAGAACCUAGAAGUUAGAGUAUCAUUCAAGUAUGUGGUCUCCUGCAGUACAAGAGGGGAAUCACCUUUUCUUUUAUUUAAUAAUGAAACCAGCUAGAUAUAAAAAUGUGACUAAGUUCAAAAGAAACGUAUGAAGUAAAAAAUUCCCCAGUGAAUAUAUUUUGACAGGGCAGAAUAUCGUGGUUUGGAAAUUUCCAAACCAAGGAAAUAUAUUAUUCUUACUGAUAGUAUUUUUUUUUAAACUUUACUGUUUUCUGAGAUGAAUUAGUUGAUGAUGAAAAAAUUUGGGUUAAAUGAUGUCACUUCAGGAAUUCAAUUCAUUUUACAGAAUUUCAGUCAAUAAAGAUUGUAAAAACAAGGACUUUUUUUCCCCCUUACAGGGUCCUGGACACAGUAAAUGCUCAAUAAAUACAUAUUAAUAAUGUAGUGUUAGUGCCACCCCAGCCAAUAUAACUCGCCCUUUUCUUAAAAGAUGUGUUUAAUUUGUAUUGAAGGUAAAUUGCUGGCAUACUAUUCUACCCAUAAAUUUUAUUCCUGUUCUUUAAAGAUAACAUAUGAGCACAGGUAUUAAAAUAAAUAUAUUUAGUAUACUAAUUAGCUUUUUCCCUCUUUUUAAAUAUACAUACGAAUUGCCUGAUUAGAGCACUCAGAAAAGUGACAGUGUUUUUGAUAAUGUGUUAUAUAUAUUAAAAAUUCUAAUAGCUUUUUUUAUUUGUUCAAACUCUAAAUGUAUAUUGAAAUAAAACAUGUCACACAGGUCCCCUUUUGUUCUCAAACACAACCUUGUCAUACAGGCAUGAUGAAUUCCGAACACUGCAGAGAAAUGAGAAGUUUGUCUAAAUAUACUAUAGAACCUUAGGUCAUAUUUAAAACACAAUGAUAGAUGAAAAACAUUAAUGAACAGAAGAAAGGAGAAAUAUCCCAGAAAAAAAAAAAAAUAUAUAUAUAUAUAUAUAUAUUCUACAAUUUAAAAAUAGUAGACUUUUAAGGACAUUAGAAUGACUAGAAGGUCAUUCAUUCAUCAGUGUGGAGUCUAUGUCCACUUCCAGUGUUUUUGACUGGGCUAAGCAACCAACAACAGAAUUGCUAUAUGCCUGAGUGGGAAUUAGUGGUCAUAGACAACAAAGGCCAGUCUAUUAGCCAAGGCACUGGGCAGAGGGUGCUUUCAUGAGGUAAUAAGAAAUAAAGUAGUUCUUUCUGGAAUCGGUGUGGCCACCAGCUGGUAAAGUGGCAGGGGAAGAAUUAUACACAAUUAUAGGCCUGACAAUCAGUAGUGACAGUGCUAACCAAGUAAGAAUGUGACAAGCAUAAUGUUUAAUGUAUAGCAAUGCAAGAGUAAUUUAUAUGAAUUAUAUAUUAGAAAUUAGACUGGGGUCUUUGACUAGGUAGUUCUGCAGAUAUACUUCCAGUCCCCUCACUCCACAAUACUUCUUAGGCCUACCACAUGAAAUAUCCAUUGUCAGUAUAAGUUUUACUGUGUAGCAUAGGUUCCAAGUUAAAUGUUCUUAACAAAUUACUACACACUGUCUGAGUAUCAAAAUCAUUCCUUCUCACAGUAGGUAAAAAUCUACCAAGAGGAAGCACUAUGUAUACUAGAUUAAUGAUAACACCAAGGAUCUUUCAUUAUAUGACAGGCAAUUCUUCCUCUGGUGCUAAGAAUGAAGCUGAAGGUGGCACUUUGGGAAAUUUUUCCUUAAAUUAUGCUUUCCUGAAGGACAAUUUUUUUGGGGGGGGUGGAGUGUGAGCAUAAGAUUUAAGAAUAUCUGGCUGGGUGUGGUGUCUCAUGCCUGUAAUCCUAGCAUUUUGGGAGGCCGAGGUGGGCGGAUCAUGAGGUCAGGAGUUUGAGACCAGCGUGACCAACAUGGUAAAACCCCGUCUCUACUAAAA